CUUAAAUUGAAGAGUUUGAUCAUGGCUCAGAUUGAACGCUGGCGGCAGGCCUAACACAUGCAAGUCGAGCGGUAGCACAGAAGAGCUUGCUCUUUGGGUGACGAGCGGCGGACGGGUGAGUAAUGUCUGGGAAACUGCCUGAUGGAGGGGGAUAACUACUGGAAACGGUAGCUAAUACCGCAU
rnacentral:rRNA from 1 species